rnacentral:rRNA from 1 species
UCCGGCGGCGAUAGUGCGGUAGGCCCACCUGAUUCCAUGCCGAACUCAGAAGUGAAAUGCCGUAACGCCGAUGGUAGUGUGGGGUCUCCCCAUGUGAGAGUAGGACACCGCCGGAU